UACGUAGGUGACAAGCGUUGUCCGGAUUUACUGGGCGUAAAGAGCGCGCAGGCGGUCGUUCAAGUCGAGUGUGAAAGCCCCCGGCUCAACUGGGGAGGGUCACUCGAUACUGAUCGACUCGAAGGCAGGAGAGGGUAGUGGAAUUCCCGGUGUAGUGGUGAAAUGCGUAGAUAUCGGGAGGAACACCAGUGGCGAAGGCGACUACCUGGCCUGUUCUUGACGCUAAGGCGCGAAAGCUAGGGGAGCAAACGGG
rnacentral:rRNA from 1 species